AACGAACGCUGGCGGCAUGCCUAACACAUGCAAGUCGAACGAGACCUUCGGGUCUAGUGGCGCACGGGUGCGUCACGCGUGGGAACCUGCCCUUAGGUUCGGAAUAACUCCCCGACAGGGGUGCUAAUACCGGAUAAUGUCUUCGGACCAAAGAUUUAUCGCCUUUGGAUGGGCCCGCGUUGGAUUAGCUAGUUGGUAGGGUAAAAGCCUACCAAGGCGACGAUCCAUAGCUGGUCUGAGAGGAUGAUCAGCCACACUGGGACUGAGACACGGCCCAGACUCCUACGGGAGGCAGCAGUGGGGAAUAUUGGACAAUGGGCGAAAGCCUGAUCCAGCAAUGCCGCGUGAGUGAUGAAGGCCUUAAGGUUGUAAAGCUCUUUUACCCGGGAUGAUAAUGACAGUACCGGGAGAAUAAGCUCCGGCUAACUCCGUG
rnacentral:rRNA from 1 species